rnacentral:tRNA from 1 species
AUAGUGGUGGUUCAGUCAUAGAAUUCUUGCCUUCCAUCCAGGAGACGUGGGUUUGAUUCCCGGCCAAUGUA